rnacentral:rRNA from 1 species
AGGUCCUGCCUGCCCAGUGACUAUGUUAAACGGCCGCGGUAUUUUGACCGUGCAAAGGUAGCGCAAUCACUUGUCUUUUAAAUGAAGACCUGUAUGAAUGGUGAAACGAGGGCCUGACUGUCUCCCCUUUCAAGUCAAUGAAAUUGAUCUACCCGUGCAGAAGCGGACAUAUAACUACAAGACGAGAAGACCCUUUGGAGCUUAAGAUUAAAAGUCAACUAUGUCAAAUAUUUAUAAAAUAGAACCAAAUAGCUACUGAUAAUAAUCUUCGGUUGGGGCGACCACGGAAUAAAAAUUAACUUCCACACGGAUUGAGGACUAAUCUUAAAACCAAGAAAGACACUUCUAAGUCACAGAAUUUCUGACCAUACAGAUCCGGCAAAUUGCCGAUCAAUGGACCAAGUUACCCUAGGGAUAACAGCGCAAUCCCCUUUUAGAGUUCCUAUCGACAAGGGGGUUUACGACCUCGAUGUUGGAUCAGGAC